rnacentral:rRNA from 1 species
AGCGAACGCUGGCGGCAGGCCUAACACAUGCAAGUCGAACGAACCUUUCGGGGUUAGUGGCGGACGGGUGAGUAACACGUUGGAACGUGCCUUUAGGUUCGGAAUAACUCAGGGGAACUUGUGCUAAUACCGAAUGUGCCCUUCGGUGGAAAGAUUGAUCGCCUUUAGAGCGGCCCGCGUCUGAUUAGCUAGUUGGUUGAGGUAAUGGCUCACCAAGGCGACGAUCAGUAGCUGGUCUGAGAGGAUGAUCAGCCACAUUGGGACUGAGACACGGCCCAAACUCCUACGGGAGGCAGCAGUGGGGAAUCUUGCGCAAUGGGCGAAAGCCUGACGCAGCCAUGCCGCGUGAAUGAUGAAGGUCUUAGGAUUGUAAAAUUCUUUCACCGGGGACGAUAAUGACGGUACCCGGAGAAGAAGCCCCGGCUAACUUCGUG